rnacentral:misc_RNA from 1 species
GAAAUGCGAUAAUUAAUGUGAAUUGCAGAAUUCAGUGAAUCAUCGAGUCUUUGAACGCACAUUGCGCCCCCUGGUAUUCCGGGGGGCAUGCCUGUCCGAGCGUCAUUGCUGCCCUCAAGCACGGCUUGUGUGUUGGGCUUCCGUCCCUGGCAACGGGGACGGGCCCAAAAGGCAGUGGCGGCACCAUGUCUGGUCCUCGAGCGUAUGGGGCUUUGUCACCCGCUCCCGUAGGUCCAGCUGGCAGUUAGCCUCGCAACCAAUCUUUUUAACCAGGUUGACCUCGGAUCAGGUAGGGAUACCCGCUGAACUUAAGC